ACAUUCAGGGGAAAUGCAAGAAUAUAUGGAGGACAAGAAGAUGGAAAGAGAGGGCAGUCAGAAAAAUCAGCAAGACAGAGAAAUAACCAAGAGAAAUGAGCAAAGCCCGACUGUUGUUCCUACUUUGGCCAUUGGAGCUCUUUCCAGUUAGCUUCUCUUCCUUGGACAGCUUCCAUACGUUUUUGAGCACUUCCUUAUUUCUGACACCAGAAGAUGACUCAGGCUUGACUUGUAUUCUCCCCGUCCAACAAUGGAAUCUGCCAUUUCUCCAAGGAGCCCUGAUUCCUUUUAUUUGAGCGUGCAUCCUGGGAAUUCAAUAUUUUCUCCAAACUUUCUGAAGAUACUGGUUACAGGUCAAACUCAGCAUUCAACGGAACCAUUUGCGUGAGAAGAAAUAUCAGAAGCAGUCGAGAAACCAGGAAGUGGGUGAGUCCUCUAGAGAUGAAGAGACAUUCUGCUGGAUGACUUUUUAAAAUGUUUUCUUCAAAGUCGUCUGCUUCACUAACAAUGGUUUUUGUCUUAGAAGUCUCCCUUUGAUUUUAUAAACUGACACAUCUGCUUCUUCCAGCUUACAGAACUCUGAAGGUAUAUUUUUUGCAUAUGUAAUGAGGUCAGACAUCAUUUUUUUGUGCACUUGACAAAUGGAAUCCUUCAAAGCCAUGACCUUGUUCAUCAUUAGUGAACAUAGUCUCAGGCCCGAGGCUGUACCAGGAAUAAACCGGAAUAAGUGUCUUUAGUCACUGAGUUCUAAGCAUUGGUAACAGCAUAUAUUGCAUCCUUCAUGCUAAACACCUUUUGAAAACCUUCUGCAUCCAUGCCUUUGUUCACUGCUGUUAGCCUGCUGUUCAAGAAAGUACUUGUAUAUUUACUCUUCAUUGAUAUAAGGAUACCAGGUUGCAUGGCUGAAUUCAUGAAGUCAAAUUUGGGGGAAAUUUCAUGGCAUCAAUAUUAUUUUUAUGAGACUUUCAGCUGGAAGAUGAGAAGAAUAGUUGUGAAAGAAUAGCACAACCUUGCAGUUGUCAUCCAGUUCUGCUUCCCUACAUUGAGCAUGAGCCACUAGUACAAAGCAUUUGUGAAAACAAUCAGUAAAGAUAGCUCUGGGGAUCCAUUCCUUUUUGUUAGCAUAAUAAACUAGUAAGCAAUUUAUUUCUUGAAAACAGUGAGAGUGCAAGCUUUUGCCUAUCAUAACAAGUUUAUGGUUAUGCAUGCCUGCCGCAUUAGCACAUCCCAGUUUUACUGUCCUUGGUAUCCUUAAUUCCUGUAAAGGCUGUCUCAUCAGCUGUAACACCAAAUUAGUGAUGUUUCAUCAGUAUUACAGACUUCUUCUGGCAUCAGAUUUUCAUCAGCAGUGACCCCGGCAAACUCUUCAAGGAAUUUCUCCACUGCUUCAUUAUCAGCAGUGCUUUAUUACCAAAAAUCUUUAAAAAUUUGAUGCUGUGUCUUCACUUAAAUUUCUGCAAUGAAACUGUUGAAUCACAGUUCCAUCCAAUGUAUAGAUCUUUGCUUGUUUCAUCAUCAGCAUACCAUUAAGUGGCAUGUAUUACUGUGAUGCUGAUGGAUCUCCUCUUUCAAUGCACAAUCAGGAUCUUCACUUUCAGCUUUAUGCAGUAUUUUUCUAUUUUUCUGGCAUUGCUUUCAGCAUAGAAUUUCAACAGUCUAUCCUUCUGUUUCUUCAGGUCAAUAUAGGGUGGUCAUUCUAACACCAUACUCUUCCGUAAGAUGUUUCAUACCUACAUUACUUUCCAGUUUCUCCAAUAGGUUGACUUCCUGUGCUAUAGAUAAACAUAAAUGUUCCCUGUUUUUCUUAUCAGUGUUACCUGUAGGGUAUCUGUAAGUGUUUUUAGCUUUUUUUUUUUUUGGAGAUGGAGUCUUGCUCUGUCGCCCAGGCUGGAGUGCAGUGGUGCGAUCUUGGCUCACUGCAAGCUCUGCCUCCUGGGUUCAUGCCAUUCUCCUGCCUCAGCCUCCCGAGUAGCUGGGACUACAGGCGCCCACCACCUCGCCCAGCUAAUUCUUUUUGUAUUUUUAGUAGAGACGGGCUUUCACUGUGUUCGCCAGGAUGGCCUCGAUCUCCUGACCUCGUGAUCCACCUGCAUCGGCCUCCCAAAGUGCUGGGAUUACAGGCAUGAGCCACUGCCCUCGGCCAUUUUUGGUGUUUUCAACAGUGCCUUUACACUGCAGAACGAAUACGCAAAAAACACAAUGAGAAAUGCACAUAGAGCUUAGCGCUACUUGGGGCAUUACAGAGAACCUGCCAUUGACAUGUAUGGUCUGCACGUGUGCCAUUCUAUUACCCUUUGUAGGCGUGCUUGCAUCGGGGAAUCUGGGUGUGUGAAGACAAGAUAUAUUGCAGCUGAAAAAGGCUGGGAGGGUCUUUAUUCACUUAGGGAUGCUGAAUAAACUGUGUUGUGUGCCUGUGUUUUGACUGUGACUCAUCACAUAAGGUCAGGUGUGGAAUUUUCCACUUGUGUGUGGCAUCAUGUUGGUGCUCAAAAAGCUUUAUAUUUUGAAGCUUUUGGGGUUAGAAAUACUCGACCUAUACUAUUUCUUCAUAAUCACUUGUGGGAUGUUUACUUGACAUAGAUUGAGUGGAGGAAGGUUAAUGAG
ensembl:lncRNA novel transcript